AGUCAUAAAAUAUGUAAUAAUCAUUGUUCACAUGGAAUCAUUCUUACUAGUUUCAUUAUGAAAAUCAUUAAAAAUAUUCUAGACAAAUGCCUUCUAUGUAAUGAUAUUGUUGAAUUGAACAUAUUCAUCUCUCACUUUUCUCUUUAUCUUUUAGAGUUAGAAAGAAAAUUCACUAUUGUUUUUGCCAGCUUACUUAGAAGCAGCUGAGUUACCAUUAUUACAUUAAAAAGUACUAAAGUAUGAUAUGCCAUACCUUAAAACUUCCUCAAGAAUGAAGUUUACCUUCUCAAAAAUAGAACCAGGCUGGGCACGAUGGCUCACACCUGUAAUCCCAGCACUCCUAGCACUUUGGGAGGCAGAGGUGGGUGGAUCACUUUAGUUCAGGAAUUUGAAACCAGCCAGGGCAACAUAGUGAAACCUUGUCUCUACAAAAAAUACAAAAAUUAGCUAGGUGUGGUGGCAUACACCUGUGGUCCCGGCUACUCCAAAGGCAGAGGUAGGAGUGCCAUUGUACUCCUGCCUGGGUGACAGAGUGAGAUCCUGUCUCCAAAAAAAAAAAGGAACCAGGUUUGCUACAUAAUAGGAAUAUUACAAAUUGUACUUUUGUUGUUAAAAGAAAAACCUUAGACCAAUUAAAUUUAACAGAGUUUAAUUGAGCAAAGAACAAUUCACCAGUCGUGCAGCUACUGAACCAGAAUAGGUUCAGAGAGACUCCAGCACAGCUACUUGGUGGAAGUUAUGGACAGAAAAAGGAAAGUGGCUACAGAAAUUGGAAGUGAGAUACAGAACCACCCAGAUUGGUUAACACCUCCGCGUUUGCCUUAUUUGAACAUGGUUUGAACAGCUGGCCACCUUUGAUUGGCCAAAACUUGGUGAUUGGCACAAGAGUAGGUUACAGACUGUUUACACAUCCAGUUAGGUUACAGUUCAUUAUGUACAGGGAAACCUUGGGCUAAACUUAAAAUAUGUAAGGAGGCAGCAUUAGGCUAAACCGAAUUUAACAAUGUGUGCAUGUGAUUUUAAAAAUCUCUAUAUUAUAUAUGUUUGUAAGUUUAAAUAGAAGCUAUGAAGUGACUCCUUAUAUAAUAAAUGUAAGGUAUCUUUGCUCCAGUGUAUCUGCCUUUAGAAAUAACUCACUAAUAAAUAUGAGGCACUGAACUCGAUGCAGAAGGCAUGUUACUGUCAAAAAACUUUCUAGAAGCUUGAUAGAGCUCUUAACAGGGUUUAUUUUGGGGGAGAGCAUGUAAUAAAUUGUAGUCUUAAACUGUUACAGAUUUCCUGAUACCUCCAAUGGACUAUUCUACCUUUAAUUUGGUAAAUAAAUGAUGUUGAUGACAACAGCUUUGCAGUUAUGAACUAAGCAAUGCCUUAUGUCUCCGUUUGCCCUUGCUUUUUUCUUUUUCUUUUUCUUUUUCUUUUUUUUUUUUUUUUUUUGAGGUGGAGCCUCGCUCUUUCACCCAGGCUGGAGUGCAGUGGCACGAUCUCGGCUCACUGCAGCCUCUGCCUCCCGGGUUCAAGCGAUUCUCCUGCCUCAGCCUCCUGAGUAGCUGGGACUACAGGUGCGUGCCAUCACGCCCAGCUAAUUUUUUGUAUUUUUGGUACAGACAGAGUUUCACUGUGUUAGCCAGAUAGUAUCAAUCUCCUGUCCUUGUGGUCCACCCGCCUCAGCCUCCCAAAGUGCUGGGAUUACAGGCGUGAGCCACCUGUGCCCGGCCAUGCUUUUUUCUCUAAUUAAAAAUAGGGCUGGGUUUGGUGGCUCACACC
rnacentral:lncRNA from 1 species